UAGGGAAUAUUGGACAAUGGGGGCAACCCUGAUCCAGCCAUGCCGCGUGAGUGAAGAAGGCCCUCGGGUUGUAAAGCUCUUUUGUCCGGAAAGAAAAGCUUCGGGUUAAUACCCCGGGGUUCUGACGGUCCCGGAAGAAUAAGCACCGGCUAACUUCGUGCCAGCAGCCGCGGUAAUACGGAGGAUCCGAGCGUUAUCCGGAUUUAUUGGGUUUAAAGGGUGCGCAGGCGGGAUGUUAAGUCGGCGGUGAAAUUUUGCAGCUCAACUGUAAAAGUGCCUUCGAUACUGGCCUCCUUGAGUGUGGAUGAAGUAGGCGGAAUUUGUGGUGUAGCGGUGAAAUGCUUAGAUAUCACGAGGAACUCCGAUUGCGCAGGCAGCUUACUAAGCCACAACUGACGCUCAUGCACGAAGGCGUGGGGAUCAAACA
rnacentral:rRNA from 1 species